CAUGUUUGCAACUGCAUUUUGAUACUCGUUGAAUCUGUCAAAAGCGGCCAGGUCAAAAUCUUGAGGUUUAGGACCAAAAUAAUGAAGACGUACAUGUGAAUCAUGAGAAAGAAAUCAAAAUUGUUAGAACCCCUUUCUUUUGCUUCUAAAAUGUUAUCGUGUAACAAGACCAGUUGUAUAGUGGGAUGAGUUGAUUGUAAAUAUAUUUUUUUCAACAUGGUUCGUUGACAUUGAGUGUAAAAUGUAUUCUCGGACAGCGUCAAAGGAAUUGUCUUGGAGGCAAAAUGAUCAAAAAUAGGAUUUAGGGUCAUGAUAGAACGACCUUGCUUACAUACUUUAUUAAACGUCGAUUGCAAAGUUUUGUAAUAACUUUUCAUAUUUUUAAUAGCCUUGGGUAAUUUUUCUUGUGUCUUUGAUCUUUCUUUUAUCAUUAAAUCUUUGAACAACA